AAUAAAGUUCCUUAGAAGAUUUUUUAUAUCUUCCUUUCCCCAACUACUAUAAUAAACAGCUAGUUGCCUUAGAGACCACUGCAGGUUUUACUAUUUUACAACCUGGCCUUUAGUACUGACAUUAGGCAAACUCAAUGUUGUUUAAUAGUGUCAAAGAAAAUACUGAAUGGUCUCCUCAUAAUCACACCAGAGAUUUUCCAAUUUGUGUUGAUAGUAGGGAGCUUCUGGUGAUCUGGGCUAAGGAGUAAGAUAAUGAAAAUAGAAUUUAGAAUGUUUUGCUUAGGAAUAGAUGUCCAAAUGGAUAAGACAAAAAAGGGACCAGAGACAAGAAUAUCAGAGAGGAAAUGGAUGCUUAAUGUGAAUUGAAGGAAUGUCUGAACUAGACUAAAAUCCAAAAUUACAAAUGAGAAGCACAGGGAAACCAGGUGAGGCUAACUGCAGCAUCCAAGAUGCAUGGUGAUGAAAUUACAAUUGGAUUAUGUCUGUAUUUCGUCUGGAAAACAGGACUUGAAUGCAAAGGCAGCACCAAGCAUAUCUAGAGUGAAGAGUCUCAACAAGUAGCUUAACAAGAUAGUUUCAGGCCAAAGAUGAUGUAUUUAGUGGAAUUUAGAGAAUACCCCUUUAUUUGAAGUUUUCCUAUAUUGUUGUACUGGAAAUGCUUCACUGUAUUCAGUCAACUAGAGUGGGUACAUGGAAUUUUGAUAUUGCACCUGAUUUUGUCCCGUAGAACAAUUUAUUCCUCCAACACCUCCCUCAGGUGAAAAUUCAAGAAUUUGCAUGGGUAGUCAUUCUGAUGCAUAUCUCCAAGCUUGUAUCUUCUUCCCGCUGACAAUGAUGCGUUACAGUCUCUGGCUCUAUCUACAUGUGAUGUGCAAGAUGUCUGACAAAAGUCAGAGAAGCCCGUUGUUGAGUUUUGUCUCCAGAUCUAAGGAUCGGUACUUUUGCCAGAUUGGGCUGCUUCUGUUUGAAAAAGACAGUUCAUGCCCCUUGCUUUGUCCCACUGUUUGGAGUGCAGUACAGGUAUGGCGGUAAGCCCUGUCAGACCCUGUGGUGGGCCCAGUUCCUUAGGGUAGUCGCCUUGGGAGUUCCAGAGCAGGAACACUGAGGAAGUCUAUGUUGCUGACAGCAUUUUAGUCCAAGACUACCUACAACAAGGCCAUCACAUGUCAGAGAAACAGACUUCUACCUUGCCAAGCUAGACACCAUUUCAGUGUCUCAUGGAGUGAUCAUCUCUAAAUUCCUAAAAAGUCGUAAGAUUAGUGUUCAGUAGGCCCAUGUGAUAUCAUCUUUAGGAUACAAGUUCUUGUUUUGAUUUUGCUAAGCACUCCGUGGUGAAAAUCAGUGGUGGAUGCGGCAGCAUUGUUAGUGCUUCGUGUUCCUAAUUUGGUCUUAGUAUCAAAAAGAGCCAUCAGUUCCCAGUGCUCAUCAUCGGCCCCUUGGCCUUCUUCAUUUCCCACUCCUUGCUAGUUAAAUUCAGGGGCUCAAUGGGUAGGUGAUCCCAGUACUUGUGGCCACUUAUGUGACACAGAUUGAUUUAUUCUUGACAACUUAGUGUGCUUUCUCCAUUUUGGUCAAUGAUGUGGGUAGUCAUCCAGGUAGAUAUCCUGUCCUAUUUACCAGUUGCGAGUUUCUCAUUCACCAUUCAGAUUUAAAGAGCCACCACUUUCCUUGCCAUGGUGAGGGCCAGCGUUACUAUAUUACAUUCAUUCCUGUUGAAUGAGAUGCAGCUUUAGAUUUUUUUCAUUUUACUGUAUUCCAAGUUAGAGUUGGCUUGAAAGAUGAAAG
rnacentral:lncRNA from 10 species